rnacentral:tRNA from 1 species
UAGCUCAAUGGCAGAGCACUUGCCUAGCAUGCAUGAGGCCCUGGGUUUGAUCCCCAG